rnacentral:rRNA from 1 species
GACGAACGCUGGCGGCGUGCUUAACACAUGCAAGUCGAACGAUGAAGCCUAGCUUGCUAGGUGGAUUAGUGGCGAACGGGUGAGUAAUACGUGAGUAACCUACCUUUAACUCUGGGAUAAGCCUGGGAAACUGGGUCUAAUACCGGAUACGACCAAUCUCCGCAUGGGGUGUUGGUGGAAAGCGUUAUGUAGUGGUUAUAGAUGGGCUCACGGCCUAUCAGCUUGUUGGUGAGGUAACGGCUCACCAAGGCGACGACGGGUAGCCGGCCUGAGAGGGUGACCGGCCACACUGGGACUGAGACACGGCCCAGACUCCUACGGGAGGCAGCAGUGGGGAAUAUUGCACAAUGGGCGCAAGCCUGAUGCAGCGACGCCGCGUGAGGGAUGACGGCCUUCGGGUUGUAAACCUCUGUUAGCAGGGAAGAAGAGAAAUUGACGGUACCUGCAGAGAAAGCGCCGGCUAACUACGU